AACGACUGCUAAUACCGGAUAUGCCGUAAGGUGAAAGAUUUAUUGCCUGGAGAUGAGCUCGCGUCUGAUUAGCUAGUUGGUGGGGUAAAAGCCUACCAAGGCAGCGAUCAGUAGCUGGUCUGAGAGGGUGAUCAGCCACACUGGGACUGAGACACGGCCCAGACUCCUACGGGAGGCAGCAGUGGGGAAUUUUCCGCAAUGGGCGAAAGCCUGACGGAGCAAUACCGCGUGAGGGAGGAAGGCUUUUGGGUUGUAAACCUCUUUUCCUAAGGAAGAAUACAAUGACGGUACUUAAGGAAUAAGUAUCGGCUAACUCCGUGCCAGCAGCCGCGGUAAUACGGAGGAUGCAAGCGUUAUCCGGAAUGAUUGGGCGUAAAGCGUCCGCAGGUGGUUUUGUAAGUCUGCUGUUAAAGCGUGAGGCUCAACCUCAUAAUGGCGGUGGAAACUACAAGACUAGAGUACGUUCGGGGCAGAGGGAAUUCCUGGUGUAGCGGUGAAAUGCGUAGAUAUCAGGAAGAACACCGGUGGCGAAAGCGCUCUGCUAGGCCGUAACUGACACUGAGGGACGAAAGCUAGGGGAGCG
rnacentral:rRNA from 1 species